UUUUCUUUUGCCUUUCAGAUGAGGUCACUGAAUCUUGGGCCAUUCUGUCAGUGAGUGGAAAAGCAGAAAUUCAAAUCCUGUUCUCCUGAGACAAAUUUCCACUGCUACAAAGGUACUUCCUAUGGACAAAUGCCUGGCUGGAUAUUGCAAAGAAUAUUACAGUAUCCUGUAUAUAAAUGAUGCAUCCGUAAGUGAUUCCUGCAGGACCAUCUUGCAGAGGCUACAAAGAUUCCUGGGGGUGUGCUGGCCAGCUCCAUCUAAGAAGACAAUGGUGCCAUUUGAAGGCUUUAAGACACAUUGAAAGAUUUGGCAAGAUUCAAAACCCUAACUGACUCCUGGACCUGGACCUCAGUCACACAGAGCAGCCUUAACCCUGAGGGGUUCCCUGUGCCUCCAAGGAGGGCUGCCCUCCUUCCUUGUGCCGUGUGUAACUGGUCAGUGAGGCCAGUUUCUGGUCUCUCCCGAAGAGGCCCAGAAGUCAGCACCAGCUUUGUGGGCUGUCUAGAGAACAGAUCCUCUUCAGAGUCUGACAGGUAGGCUGACGAAACAAGUCUACAAGGUGACUUUGGACCACUGGUGUCUCUAAUACCAGGGCUGUGCCAGAAAAUUCAAGAUCAAUUGCACAAGCAUUUUAAACAAGUUAUUGCCAACAUGACUUUCAGUUGAAUGGACAAAAAUAAGAACUCGAUACUGUUUGAGAUUUAAACUUGUGCACUGAUGCACAUGUACACACACAGGAACCUUCCAUAAAGAUUGUAGCAUCUUGAGUUUUAAGCUAUCAUUAAAUAUUUACUCAAGCAUUGCCUUUGGGCAAAGAAGGGAGA
rnacentral:lncRNA from 1 species